GAUGAACGCUGGCGGCGUGCCUAAUACAUGCAAGUCGAGCGAACAGACGAGGAGCUUGCUCCUCUGACGUUAGCGGCGGACGGGUGAGUAACACGUGGAUAACCUACCUAUAAGACUGGGAUAACUUCGGGAAACCGGAGCUAAUACCGGAUAAUAUAUUGAACCGCAUGGUUCAAUAGUGAAAGACGGUUUUGCUGUCACUUAUAGAUGGAUCCGCGCCGCAUUAGCUAGUUGGUAAGGUAACGGCUUACCAAGGCAACGAUGCGUAGCCGACCUGAGCGGGGGAUCGCCCACACGGGAACGGGGCCACGGUCAAGCCUCCUACGGGAGGCCGCAGUAGGGAAUCUUGCUCAAUGGGCGAAAGCCUGCCGGGCCACCGCGCCGUGGGUGAUGAAGGUCUUCGGACCGUAAACCCUUGUUAUUAGGGAAAAACAAAUGUGUAAUUAACUAUGCACGUCUUGACGGUACCUAAUCAGAAAGCCACGGCUAACUACGUG
rnacentral:rRNA from 1 species